GUGUCAGCAGCCGCGGUAAUACGUAGGGAGCAAGCGUUGUCCGGAAUCAUUGGGCGUAAAGAGCGCGUAGGCGGCCGUGUAAGUCCGCUCUGAAAGUCAAAGGCUCAACCUUUGAAAGCGGGUGGAUACUGCACGGCUAGAGUCCGGAAGAGGCGAGUGGAAUUCCUGGUGUAGCGGUGGAAUGCGCAGAUAUCAGGAGGAACACCAACGGCGAAGGCAGCUCGCUGGGACGGUACUGACGCUGAGGCGCGAAAGCGUGGGGAGCAAACAGGAUUAGAAACCCCAGUAGUCC
rnacentral:rRNA from 1 species